rnacentral:tRNA from 1 species
UUUAAUUGAAGCCAAAAAAGAGGCAUCUUAUUGUUAAUAAGAUAAGUGAUACAAAAUCCAAUUAAA